rnacentral:rRNA from 1 species
AAUCUUCCCAGUAGUGGGGAAUAACCAGUCGAAAGAUUGGCUAAUACCGCAUACGUCUGUAAAGGGAAAGCGGGGGCUCGUAAGACCUCGCGCUAUUGGAUGAGCCAAAGUCGGAUUAGCUAGUUGGUGGGGUAAUGGCCUACCAAGGCGACAAUCCGUAGCUGGUCUGAGAGGACGACCAGCCACACCGGAACUGAGACACGGUCCGGACUCCUACGGGAGGCAGCAGUGGGGAAUAUUGGACAAUGGGGGAAACCCUGAUCCAGCGACGCCGCGUGUGU